rnacentral:rRNA from 1 species
GCAGUCGAGGGGUAACAUAGGAAAGCUUGCUUUUCUGAUGACGACCGGCGCACGGGUGCGUAACGCGUAUACAACCUACCUUUUAGCGGGGAAUAGCCCAGGGAAACUUGGAUUAAUGCCCCAUAGUAUAUAGACUUCUCCUGAAGUUUAUAUUAAACAUUUAUGGCUAUUAGAUGGGUAUGCGUCCUAUUAGUUAGUUGGUAAGGUAACGGCUUACCAAGGCAGCGAUAGGUAGGGGUCCUGAGAGGGAGAUCCCCCACACUGGUACUGAGACACGGACCAGACUCCUACGGGAGGCAGCAGUGAGGAAUAUUGGACAAUGGGCGAGAGCCUGAUCCAGCCAUGCCGCGUGCAGGAAGACUGCCCUAUGGGUUGUAAACUGCUUUUACAGAGGAAGAACCACCCCCACGUGUGGGGGUUUGACGGUACUCUGCGAAUAAGGAUCGGCUAACUCCGUGCCAGCAGCCGCGGUAAUACGGAGGAUCCAAGCGUUAUCCGGAAUCAUUGGGUUUAAAGGGUCCGUAGGCGGGCAGUUAAGUCAGUGGUGAAAGUCUUCCGCUCAACGGGAGAACUGCCAUUGAUACUGAUUGUCUUGAGUUAUUAUGAAGUGGUUAGAAUGAGUAGUGUAGCGGUGAAAUGCAUAGAUAUUACUCAGAAUACCGAUUGCGAAGGCAGAUCACUAAUAAUAUACUGACGCUGAUGGACGAAAGCGUAGGUAGCGAACAGGAUUAGAUACCCUGGUAGUCUACGCCGUAAACGAUGGUUACUAGCUGUUCGGCCUAAUUGAGGGCUGAGUGGUUAAGCGAAAGUGAUAAGUAACCCACCUGGGGAGUACGUUCGCAAGAAUGAAACUCAAAGGAAUUGACGGGGGCCCGCACAAGCGGUGGAGCAUGUGGUUUAAUUCGAUGAUACGCGAGGAACCUUACCAGGGCUUAAAUGUAGUCUGACAGGUCUGGAAACAGACUUUUCUUCGGACAGAUUACAAGGUGCUGCAUGGUUGUCGUCAGCUCGUGCCGUGAGGUGUCAGGUUAAGUCCUAUAACGAGCGCAACCCCUGUGGUUAGUUGCCAGCGAGUAAUGUCGGGAACUCUAGCCAGACUGCCGGUGCAAACCGCGAGGAAGGUGGGGAUGACGUCAAAUCAUCACGGCCCUUACGUCCUGGGCCACACACGUGCUACAAUGGUAGGGACAGAGAGCAGCCACUUCGCGAGAAGGAGCGAAUCUACAAACCCUAUCACAGUUCGGAUCGCAGUCUGCAACUCGACUGCGUGAAGCUGGAAUCGCUAGUAAUCGCAUAUCAGCCAUGAUGCGGUGAAUACGUUCCCGGGCCUUGUACACACCGCCCGUCAAGCCAUGGAAGCCGGGGGUACCUGAAGUCGGUCACC